UGGGCGGUGCCCGCGUCCGGCUGGGGCCGCGCCCCGCCCCGUCCCCGGCCUAAGCGAGCUCCUCCCUCCGCCCGGCGCCGGCCUCGGUCACCGCAAACCUACUUUCCCAGAGGACACCUUCCCUGGGACCAGGGAGUGUCCUCUCGUGCCCCAGUUUAAGCAAAGGUCGUGAAAGUCUGAAUUCCUUCACCCCCGUUCCCAAACAAACCCCCACCAAGAAACUUAGGCAGCCUGCAUACCUUUCUCAUUCCCCUAGUCUUCAAAGACAGUCCUUACUUCAUUUUCCACUAAAAUCUUCUAAAGUGUUAACGAUUCUUUAGUACAAAAAAGGACACUGAGUUAUCUUGUAAAUACUUCAUGUUGGAAUCAUGAAAGCUUCCUCUUAAGGUGCUUGGUCAUCCUGACGAAGCUCAGACCACCUCGGGGUGAGGCCCUCACGUCAUCCAGUGACUAGCACCUCUCCAGGCAGCCUUCGCCUCGGUCUCGGAGCUCAGAGCUCGCCUGCAACUACUCCGCCAGACGGAGGGUAAGAUCCGGCUGUCAUUAAAGCAGCUGGUUGAAUGUGGAACCCUUCUGGCGAGGGUUGUUCGCAAAGGCCCUGACCAGUGUCAACAUCCGGAACCUCAUCUGCAAUGGGGGGGCUGGUGGACCUGCCCCAGCAGGAGGUCCGCCCCUCCCCCACUGCUGCCCCAGCGGAGAAGGAAGAAUCUGAGGAGUCCCAGGACAACGUGGGCUUGGGGCUUUUAGACUAAACCUCUUUUGUAACACAUUCAAUGAGAAGCUGAACUCUGAAAACAACACAAACAAGUAAAAUACAUGCAUUUUUUU